rnacentral:rRNA from 1 species
GACGAACCGUGCGAACGUUAUUCGGAAUCACUGGGCUUAAAGGGUGCGUAGGCUGCGAGGAGGGUGGGUGUGAAAUCCCUCGGCCUAACCGAGGAAUUGCGCUCCAAACCGCCUUGCUGGAGUGAGACAGAGGUGAGCGGAACUAAUGGUGGAGCGGUGAAAUGCGUUGAUAUCAUUAGGAACACCAGAGGCGAAGGCGGCUCACUGGGUCUCAACUGACGCUGAUGCACGAAGCUAGGGUAGCGAACGGG